CGCGUAGGCGGCUUUGUAAGUCAAAUGUGAAAUCCCCGGGCUUAACCUGGGAACUGCAUUCGAUACUGCAUAGCUAGAGUAUGGUAGAGGGAAGUGGAAUUCCGGGUGUAGCGGUGAAAUGCGUAGAUAUCCGGAGGAACACCAGUGGCGAAGGCGACUUCCUGGGCCAAUACUGACGCUGAGGUGCGAAAGCGUGGGGAGCAAACA
rnacentral:rRNA from 1 species